rnacentral:tRNA from 1 species
GAGGGUAUAGAUCAGUGGUAGAGUGCAUGCCUAGCAUGCAUGAGGCUGUGGGUUCGAUCCCUGGUACCUCCA